rnacentral:rRNA from 1 species
UACGUAGGGUGCGAGCGUUAAUCGGAAUUACUGGGCGUAAAGCGUGCGCAGGCGGUUUGGUAAGUCAGAUGUGAAAUCCCCGGGCUUAACCUGGGAAUUGCAUUUGUGACUGCCCGGCUAGAGUGUGUCAGAGGGGGGUAGAAUUCCACGUGUAGCAGUGAAAUGCGUAGAUAUGUGGAGGAAUACCGAUGGCGAAGGCAGCCCCCUGGGAUAACACUGACGCUCAUGCACGAAAGCGUGGGGAGCAAACAGG